GGGACGGGGCACCACAGGAAGCUGUGACCCGCAGCGCUGAUCCCCUCUGAGAACCAGCAGGGGGCCUGAUAGGCUGCUCCUUGUAAAGGCUCUGCAUUGACGUUUGACUUAAAAAGUCCAAAACGAAAGCCUGGAGGUCAAGCCGGUUAUGAGACGCAGCCGCUGCCUCCAUCGCAGGAGACAACAGCAGCUGCUUGGUCUAUUCGAUGAGGCGGGGGGAAGAGGGUCCGUGAGUAUCGGUGUAAUGGUCAUGGCAGCUGAGGUUUUCUUCCACAGUCCCACGUCCUCCUGGAAGCAGCAGGUUUGUAGAGCAGCGCUUUGCAGGAGCGAGUCACUACAGAUGACUCAUGUAGAGCAAAACACAACACGACGCCCUCUGAGGCUGGUGAUGAACGAC
ensembl:lncRNA